GUUUCUGUAGUUAGUGGUUAUCACAUUCGCCUUUCACCGAAAGGUCCCUGGUUCGAACCGGGCAGAAACA